rnacentral:lncRNA from 1 species
GGGUUACUCAGGGAAACAGUGAGUUCUCCAUUCCUAGAGGACUUUUCUAAAGGAUGAUGGAGACUCUGAGAGGAAGUAUCACUUUGUCUGGGGUAGAAUGAAGUGUCUUCAAUCAUUGAGCAGGAGGGAGAAGGAUGGAGACAACACCAACUUGAAGUCACUUGAAGCCAGAUUCAGAUUCCCUCCCUCUCCAUCCCAUUGGCCCUUGAAAUCCGGACCACACCAGAGCCUGUUUCCUCUGCCCCCUCCAAGCGAGGAUCUCUGCUGGUGGCUUUCUCUCUCCUACAACUCAGAGUUGGACGAAUGAGAAGAUCUGUGAAGAUGUACUCGUUGGUUCCAGGUCACAGACAUCCUGAAGGACCAUCCAGAACUUUGGUCCAAACUCCAAGAGUGAUGGAAUAAAGCUCUGUACCCAGACCUCUCCCAGGGACUUUAUGAAGGGGCCCCAUGGUGGGCCUAGGCCACUGGGUUGGGGAAGUGGAUCUCUGUGCCAAUGGAGAUGUAUUUAUUGCUUCCAAAUUAAGCACCAAUUUACCCGUGUAAUUGUCUGCUAAUUGACACAAAAUCCUAAUGCAAUUAGCAGGGACCCUUAUCUCCCUUGGAGCUAGAA